UUCCUGAUGUUUAGUCAGAAUCUCUUUACUUGUAACUUGAAAUCUGGAGCAGAAGAAAACAAGCUUGCUCUAUUUUCCCUUUCCCUUUAGAUAUUUGAAGAUGUCUAUCAUAUCUCCUCUCAGUCUCCUCUUUUUCAGGCUAAAUAUACCCAGCCGCCUCAACC